GGACUACCAGGGUUUCUAAUCCUGUUUGAUCCCCACGCUUUCGUGCCUCAGUGUCAAUAACCGUGUAGCGAGCUGCCUUCGCAAUCGGUGUUCUAUGUCAUAUCUAAGCAUUUCACCGCUACAUGACAUAUUCCGCUCACCUCCACGGCAUUCAAGACAGAUAGUAUCAACGGCAGUUUCCGGGUUAAGCCCGGAGAUUUCACCACUGACUUACCUGCCCACCUACGCACCCUUUAAACCCAGUGAAUCCGGAUAACGCUUGCACCCUCCGUAUUACCGCGGCGGCUGGCAC
rnacentral:rRNA from 2 species